rnacentral:rRNA from 1 species
AUUGAACGCUGGCGGCAGGCCUAACACAUGCAAGUCGAGCGGAUGAAGGGAGCUUGCUCCUGGAUUCAGCGGCGGACGGGUGAGUAAUGCCUAGGAAUCUGCCUGGUAGUGGGGGAUAACGUCCGGAGACGGGCGCUAAUACCGCAUACGUCCUGAGGGAGAAAGUGGGGGAUCUUCGGACCUCACGCUAUCAGAUGAGCCUAGGUCGGAUUAGCUAGUUGGUGGGGUAAAGGCCUACCAAGGCGACGAUCCGUAACUGGUCUGAGAGGAUGAUCAGUCACACUGGAACUGAGACACGGUCCAGACUCCUACGGGAGGCAGCAGUGGGGAAUAUUGGACAAAGGGCGAAAGCCUGAUCCAGCCAUGCCGCGUGUGUGAAGAAGGUCUUCGGAUUGUAAAGCACUUUAAGUUGGGAGGAAGGGCGGUAAGUUAAUACCUUGCUGUUUUGACGUUACCAACAGAAUAAGCACCGGCUAACUUCGUG